ensembl:snRNA U6 U6 spliceosomal RNA
UUGCUUUGGUAGCACAUAUAUUAAAAUUGGAAAAUACAGAGAAGAUUAGCAUGGCCUCUAUGCAAAUAUGACACACAAAAUUGUGAAGCACUCCAUAUUAAA